AAGUUCGUGGAAUAUCCGCAGUACCCGCCAGUACUCGCACGUGUUUGCUCCUCACUUAACCUAACCUAACCUAACCUUAUUCCUCAUCUAAUCCUUAUCCAGUCAACUAGCGUUAUCGAAAGAAUAAAACAUGAAUUUGCAAGAACCAAAGAAGAAGAAGACGAAGUUAAAACCACAAUUGCCAUUUCCCAUUCCACUGAAUGAAAUGGAAAAAUGGCCACUAUACACAGCGCAUCUCACAGAUGUUGGCUCAUGUAUAAUUGAACCUGAACAGAUGAUUGCAGUGCAUUCUAUGGGAUUUUUUGGCAAAGGAUCAUUGUCACGCAGCUAUCCAUCAUUUGGUAAAGCAAGAUACGGAGCACCUCCAGUUGUUCGGAACAGACAGUGGCUUCACAGACAAAAGUGGCUCAAGGAAGUUAAAGAACUAAACUCUGCCGACUACAAAGAUACUAAAGGAAUUGGUUUAUGCGAGGAAGAAAACAUUCGAAAUGAAGAAAACAUUGGUGACAUUAUUGAAAUUCCAUCAAAUUCUAGUGAAAAUGGAAAUACACAGAAAAGUGAGAUAGUAAAGAACAUAGAGAUCGAUGAAGUCACUCUAGAUUCCGCGGAGGAGGACGAUAUAUGCGUCAUUAUCAAUAGAGACUCAGAUAAAUACGACAAUAAUGAAAGAUCUUUAAACACUGAUGAUGAUAAGGUUAGCUCGGAAGAGAAGAAUGAGGAGGAAGACUGGAGAUUGAAUGAUUAUGAUUUCAAAAGUGAUUUAAUGAACGAGGAUGACAAUCAGCAAUCAGGAAAACUAUUAGUAUUGCCGGACAAUGACUCGGACACCGAGAAUUAUUUGAAAAAUGUUAAGCCGAGAAUCGAGAAUGAAGGUUUCCCUACUCGUGAGGCUUUGCAUCUCACCUUCGAAGAGACUUUUUUCCUCCUUUUUGGAUUAGGUUGCCUGCAAGUGAUUCACUUCGACGGUAGUCCACUGGACAUCAACAGCGCGUGGUUGUACUUUUGCAAGGAGAAGCCAGAUUUUAUACAAACAUACGUAGUUUACCAUUAUUAUAGGAGCAAAGGUUGGGUGGUCAAGCCUGGCAUAAAAUAUGGUGGUGACUUCUUACUUUAUCAAGAGGGACCACCAUUCUAUCACGCUUCUUACAUUAUUAUUAUACAAGUGGCAGACGCGGAUUCUUUAGUUAUAGAUACUACUGUGGCCUCACGCACCAUGACAUGGAACAAUUUAUUUGGAUUUGAAAGGCUGUCCGAAACUGCUGCUAAGGAAAUACUUUUCGCGCAAGUUUUAUGGCCGUCGUCGGUACCUCGUGAUGUUAGUAUGACUAGCCCUGAAAUACUUUCCGAAUUCACGGUGAGAGAAUUACUCUGGCGUCGAUGGAAUCCGAAACAGCAUCGAGAAGAUGUUACCGUUGAAGAAGAAGACGAGGACUCGUGCUGAAGGAAUUUUUAAUUUAUUUUCCAAUUUACAUGCUUAAUCUUUGAAAUCUUUUCUUACACGAACUAUUAAUGUCUUCGGAGUAUAUUGACUACAUACAUAAGAAACUGAGAAUUAUAAACGUUAUCAAACAUAUCGGUUUCAAUAAUGAGAAAUUCAACAUUAAGGAAAUAUCAAGUUUAUGAAGUUGAAUGUUACGUGUAUAAACAUAAUAUCAGUCAUAACGGAAUACUAUAUUAAAUCUCAUGGAUUAUACGCGAGGCACUCCGUGAGCACUCAGCGUAGCGUUAAGCCGAAUCGAAUCCGUGUCUUUAUCAGCGAUCGGCGAUUCGCGUGGCGGUAUCGUUUGCGGUACUCGCCAAGUGAAAGCAAGCUGCGAGGGCCCCCGCGACUGCACGGUCCCAGGACCCGUGCAGUCAGUCUGAGGUGAGCUGGGAGCUGGCAUGCCGAGUGCCGUGCACCGCGAGUUGUCAGCGAGUUGAGCAUCUCCAAAUCAAGCCCAGGAUUGCGUUACGCGCGAUCCGGUACGUAAAGAACAGCCGAAUAUUCUGCUCCGUUAUUUCUGUCAAGCACCACGUCGCGUGACGGGAUAGCCAUCAAAAAUCUUUGUGCCUGUGUCAUUCGACAAUUUGUAUAUAUUCACUCGUGAUAAGUAGCAAUAGCAUAAUAUUUUAAAUUUGUAAUAAGUUUUAUACAUUUUAUAAUAUUUUGUGUUUCUUUUUCUAUACUUGAACGUAUUUAUCUUACUAAUUUUCUAUAUUGCAUAAAAAUUUAUCUUUACAUUCACUUUCUAUAUAGAGUUUCAUUCUAUAAUUCUUUGAGAAUUUGAAACUUAUAAAAGUUUUAUAUUAUAUAUAAAAGUAUUUUUACUAUUUUUUAAAAUCUGGUUAAUUUAGAAUAAAACUGUUUUAUUGUGUCCAUGUUGAUACUUGAUUCUAUAUUUGAAAAAGGCAGAUAAUCAGUUAACUUCAAUUGUUUAUGGAAACAGCUUGAAGGCGAAUAUUUAGCGGAGGUGUUGAGAUGCGUUUUAAAGCGUUCGCAUUAUUUAUGAGGUAGAAUAAAAAGGAUGAUGUUGCUUUUAAAUGCGUGGACUGCGUUCGGUUUAAAUUUCGCGCCCAGAAAAUUGUAACCGGAAGUGAUCAAUUAAACGGAAAUUACAAGAUUUAAAUUUCAAAACCAUCAGGCUUUUCGAUACGCGUUUUUUUCUGAAAUAUAUCAAGUUAUUAUAUAUUAGUUUUUGGAACUUGACCGGAAUUACCCUAAAAAAAAAUAUAUAAACGUUCAAAAUACACGUGCGCGUGUACUGCGUACACAUCGUGUUCCCCGGCUCGUGAAAGAUGUUCGAGGACGAACGCGCGACAAUCAGGACGACCAAUGAAUAAAGAAUCGUGUCACUUUCA